CUGGGAGAGGCAGUGAGCAUGAGUCAAACGUGACAGGGACUUGAAUCUCCCCGCCCCGCCCCGCCUGCAGUAGCCAGGCCAGAGUCGGGAAUGGGAGAUGAAACUAGUUUUCCACCCACUUUUGGACAAGUCCCACCCCUAGAUCUGAAGCAAGCCCUGCCAGCAGCGUGUCCUGGAAGCCUGCCUGCCUGCCCGUCUGCACAGGUGUCUUGAUCCAGCCCUGCGUCUUCGAGCCCCUGUGCCACCGGUCCCCACAGCCCGCCAGGAGUCUCUUUGUACCCACUAGGCUUCCCUGAUGACCACCUGUCUGUCCGUCCCUGUGUCUGCUGUACAUACCUCCUGCUGCACCCUCUCCCCGCACACCCGUCACCCAUAAGAGAGAGAAACCUCUCUAGGGAAAGGCAGGGUGGCUGCACCCAGCAACUAAUCCAAAUGGCAAAUAUUUUGUAACAAAAUAGCCCAGAGGUAUUUUAUCUGUUCAAUUCAUAGAGUUUUAGAGAUUAUAUUGAAAGAUGUCACUUG
rnacentral:sRNA from 1 species